rnacentral:rRNA from 1 species
GAUGAACGCUGGCGGCGUGCCUAAUACAUGCAAGUCGAGCGAAUGGAUUAAGAGCUUGCUCUUAUGAAGUUAGCGGCGGACGGGUGAGUAACACGUGGGUAACCUGCCCAUAAGACUGGGAUAACACCGGGAAACCGGGGCUAAUACCGGAUAACAUUUUGAACCGCAUGGUUCGAACUUGAAAGGCGGCUUCGGCUGUCACUUAUGGAUGGACCCGCGUCGCAUUAGGUAGUUGGUGAGGUAACGGCUCACCAAGGCAACGAGGCGUAGCCGACCUGAGAGGGUGAUCGGCCACACUGGGACUGAGACACGGCCCAGACUCCUACGGGAGGCAGCAGUAGGGAAUCUUCCGCAAUGGACGAAAGUCUGACGGAGCAACGCCGCGUGAGUGAUGAAGGCUUUCGGGUCGUAAAACUCUGUUGUUAGGGAAGAACAAGUGCUAGUUGAAUAAGCUGGCACCUUGACGGUACCUAACCAGAAAGCCACGGCUAACUACGUGCCAGCCGCCGCCGUAA